UUAAGCGACUAAGCGUACACGGUGGAUGCCCUGGCAGUCAGAGGCGAUGAAGGACGUGCUAAUCUGCGAUAAGCGUCGGUAAGGUGAUAUGAACCGUUAUAACCGGCGAUUUCCGAAUGGGGAAACCCAGUGUGAUUCGUCACACUAUCAUUAACUGAAUCCAUAGGUUAAUGAGGCGAACCGGGGGAACUGAAACAUCUAAGUACCCCGAGGAAAAGAAAUCAACCGAGAUUCCCCCAGUAGCGGCGAGCGAACGGGGAGCAGCCCAGAGCCUGAAUCAGUGUGUGUGUUAGUGGAAGCGUCUGGAAAGGCGUGCGAUACAGGGUGACAGCCCCGUACACAAAAAUGCACAUGCUGUGAGCUCGAUGAGUAGGGCGGGACACGUGGUAUCCUGUCUGAAUAUGGGGGGACCAUCCUCCAAGGCUAAAUACUCCUGACUGACCGAUAGUGAACCAGUACCGUGAGGGAAAGGCGAAAAGAACCCCGGCGAGGGGAGUGAAAAAGAACCUGAAACCGUGUACGUACAAGCAGUGGGAGCACAGAGCUUGUGUGACUGCGUACCUUUUGUAUAAUGGGUCAGCGACUUAUAUUCUGUAGCAAGGUUAACCGAAUAGGGGAGCCGAAGGGAAACCGAGUCUUAACUGGGCGUUAAGUUGCAGGGUAUAGACCCGAAACCCGGUGAUCUAGCCAUGGGCAGGUUGAAGGUUGGGUAACACUAACUGGAGGACCGAACCGACUAAUGUUGAAAAAUUAGCGGAUGACUUGUGGCUGGGGGUGAAAGGCCAAUCAAACCGGGAGAUAGCUGGUUCUCCCCGAAAGCUAUUUAGGUAGCGCCUCGUGAAUUCAUCUCCGGGGGUAGAGCACUGUUUCGGCAAGGGGGUCAUCCCGACUUACCAACCCGAUGCAAACUGCGAAUACCGGAGAAUGUUAUCACGGGAGACACACGGCGGGUGCUAACGUCCGUCGUGAAGAGGGAAACAACCCAGACCGCCAGCUAAGGUCCCAAAGUCAUGGUUAAGUGGGAAACGAUGUGGGAAGGCCCAGACAGCCAGGAUGUUGGCUUAGAAGCAGCCAUCAUUUAAAGAAAGCGUAAUAGCUCACUGGUCGAGUCGGCCUGCGCGGAAGAUGUAACGGGGCUAAACCAUGCACCGAAGCUGCGGCAGCGACGCUUAUGCGUUGUUGGGUAGGGGAGCGUUCUGUAAGCCUGCGAAGGUGUGCUGUGAGGCAUGCUGGAGGUAUCAGAAGUGCGAAUGCUGACAUAAGUAACGAUAAAGCGGGUGAAAAGCCCGCUCGCCGGAAGACCAAGGGUUCCUGUCCAACGUUAAUCGGGGCAGGGUGAGUCGACCCCUAAGGCGAGGCCGAAAGGCGUAGUCGAUGGGAAACAGGUUAAUAUUCCUGUACUUGGUGUUACUGCGAAGGGGGGACGGAGAAGGCUAUGUUGGCCGGGCGACGGUUGUCCCGGUUUAAGCGUGUAGGCUGGUUUUCCAGGCAAAUCCGGAAAAUCAAGGCUGAGGCGUGAUGACGAGGCACUACGGUGCUGAAGCAACAAAUGCCCUGCUUCCAGGAAAAGCCUCUAAGCAUCAGGUAACAUCAAAUCGUACCCCAAACCGACACAGGUGGUCAGGUAGAGAAUACCAAGGCGCUUGAGAGAACUCGGGUGAAGGAACUAGGCAAAAUGGUGCCGUAACUUCGGGAGAAGGCACGCUGAUAUGUAGGUGAAGUCCCUCGCGGAUGGAGCUGAAAUCAGUCGAAGAUACCAGCUGGCUGCAACUGUUUAUUAAAAACACAGCACUGUGCAAACACGAAAGUGGACGUAUACGGUGUGACGCCUGCCCGGUGCCGGAAGGUUAAUUGAUGGGGUUAGCGCAAGCGAAGCUCUUGAUCGAAGCCCCGGUAAACGGCGGCCGUAACUAUAACGGUCCUAAGGUAGCGAAAUUCCUUGUCGGGUAAGUUCCGACCUGCACGAAUGGCGUAAUGAUGGCCAGGCUGUCUCCACCCGAGACUCAGUGAAAUUGAACUCGCUGUGAAGAUGCAGUGUACCCGCGGCAAGACGGAAAGACCCCGUGAACCUUUACUAUAGCUUGACACUGAACAUUGAGCCUUGAUGUGUAGGAUAGGUGGGAGGCUUUGAAGUGUGGACGCCAGUCUGCAUGGAGCCGACCUUGAAAUACCACCCUUUAAUGUUUGAUGUUCUAACGUUGACCCGUAAUCCGGGUUGCGGACAGUGUCUGGUGGGUAGUUUGACUGGGGCGGUCUCCUCCUAAAGAGUAACGGAGGAGCACGAAGGUUGGCUAAUCCUGGUCGGACAUCAGGAGGUUAGUGCAAUGGCAUAAGCCAGCUUGACUGCGAGCGUGACGGCGCGAGCAGGUGCGAAAGCAGGUCAUAGUGAUCCGGUGGUUCUGAAUGGAAGGGCCAUCGCUCAACGGAUAAAAGGUACUCCGGGGAUAACAGGCUGAUACCGCCCAAGAGUUCAUAUCGACGGCGGUGUUUGGCACCUCGAUGUCGGCUCAUCACAUCCUGGGGCUGAAGUAGGUCCCAAGGGUAUGGCUGUUCGCCAUUUAAAGUGGUACGCGAGCUGGGUUUAGAACGUCGUGAGACAGUUCGGUCCCUAUCUGCCGUGGGCGCUGGAGAACUGAGGGGGGCUGCUCCUAGUACGAGAGGACCGGAGUGGACGCAUCACUGGUGUUCGGGUUGUCAUGCCAAUGGCACUGCCCGGUAGCUAAAUGCGGAAGAGAUAAGUGCUGAAAGCAUCUAAGCACGAAACUUGCCCCGAGAUGAGUUCUCCCUGACUCCUUGAGAGUCCUGAAGGAACGUUGAAGACGACGACGUUGAUAGGCCGGGUGUGUAAGCGCAGCGAUGCGUUGAGCUAACCGGUACUAAUGAACCGUGAGGCUUAACCU
rnacentral:rRNA from 1 species